CUAAUUGCAAAUUGAGUCAGGGUGUGUGCCACCUAUUACAGCUCCUUGGGGUCCAUUGACAUAAAGCUACUCUAAAUUUGCUUAGUAGGCAUUUUGCUUCUUCAAGUAAAAGACCAUCUGUUCCACUGCAUUCCUGUGCCAAAAGAAUACCAGUUAUGCAUUCUUUUGCGUCCAUCUCUAGAAUGGCACAAAUAUAUCCCAUGUCAAGAGAAAAAUGCAAUCCUUCAAUUGCAUCCAUAAGCUCUGUUUGCUUGGCC
rnacentral:lncRNA from 1 species